UUUUGCUCCUAUGCUCCCUCUGUUCCUAUAUGCUCUCCCUCUCUUCCCUCUUCUUUGAGCGUGCACAGACUGGAGCAAAUGAAAAUGUACUUUUCAAAUUUUACUCGCCCAGUCAUUCUCUUUUAAAUGAAGCUAUGCCAGCAAUCGCACUGAUUCUGAAACCCAGGCAACGUGAGGACAGAAUAAAGGGUCACAUGGACAUAUCGUAGAACUCUGGAUGCCUCAUACUGGCUCAUCAUUAUCACUGUCAUCAUUAUCUUCAAAGCCUUCAAUCAGCUUUCAACAAAUUCCUUGGUCACAGUCUUCAAGGGGUGGAAUUUGGUAAUCUGUAUUCUCUUUCAUUUUUCAUUGAAAUAAGUAAUGACCACAUUUAACGACCAGUGUGUCUGAGUGUUAACAGCUUGUGAGCCAACAAACGAGUCAUUAACAGGUGUUAACUUCUGCUUUCUGGUUUAAACAAUUCAUUCUCAUCUCUCUCCUGUUUGGACUGGGGGCUUAUGCAAAUUCCUGGCUGGGUUUUCAUUUUUCUUCUGAUAGGCAAGUCUUAUUAAUUGGUUAGCUACGUCUCUGCUAAUGCCUCCUCUUUUCCAGGAGUGUUUCUUAUGGAGUCAAUGGAUGAAUGAAUUUUAUUUUUAAUCCAUUUUUUUCCCCCUGAAGGUUGAGUGUAUCCUGGAAUAGUUUGGUCCUGGAAUGAAUUAGGUAAAAAGUCCUGGAGAAAAAUCCACUCUUGAAACAUGAAGUCUCCUACUAUGGAAAAGGAAUGCAAAUAGGUUGAAGAUAGCACAGGGUUUGAGGCAGCAUUUAUGUUCGCAGAGGAGACAUGACAAAGAUGAUUGUCUACGUGCUAGAAAUGUACAGACCCACUAUGGGUCCAACAUGUGCCUGUGAUGGGGCUGAGCCCUCCUGGGAAAUCCUCUUCUCAUAGUUGCCCCCGUUUUUUCCUUCUUGCUUUUUGACAGAUUAUAAGCCAGUGGAAAGGACAUACUUUCCUCUCUCAACUUACCAUUGGGGGGAUGGGGUUGGGGUGAUGGGAUGAAGAGUGGGUUUGGGUCUUUGGUCCUAGAGCACCCCAUUUCAUUGCAUGAGCUUCCUGUAGAUAGAAGCAAAGUCAGUAAACGAGAAGUCCAAGUUCUGUCCAGUAGGGACCAUCUUGUGGGUGUGGAGGGUGCACUGGAUUAUAUAUACUUGUCUCUCUAAGGCAGUGCUUCUUAAACCCUGUGUGGCAAAGGAACAUUUAAGAAAAUUCAAAUAGAUUGCAGAUUGAUAAUCAGUAAAAUACAAAAUCAUGCAGCUUGGAUGUCCUGGGAAUGUUGAAUUGCUAUAAACUUUCUAAAUGCUUUCUGUCACUUUCAUACUUAUCCUACCCUGGUAACUGUGAAUCAGUACCAGUCCAGAUUUUGGACAACACUUCUUUCAUGAGCUUGGGUCUUGCCUUUUUACAGCUAUGAAAGCUGGUGAGAGAAAACUGCCCUCGGCUGCUCCUCGCAAUGGUCAUUCCUUUGUGAUACCUCGCUGAGCAAUGACUAGAUGAGGUUUUGAACAAGGAACGUGUGUCUCAGCUCCCAAUAUUUUUUAGCAGAAUCUUCUAUAAUCUUUGGCUGACAUGAAAGAAGCAGCUUAGUUAUCAAAAUAAUUUUCCCUCCUGGGUGUUCUGCAGACCAGGGUGGCCAGAGUCCUUGUUUUGAUUAAUCAAAGCCAGGCACAGAGAUGAAGGCACCUUGCCUGGCAAUGGUGUGAGUAUCUGGAGAAGAAAGGUAAGACUAGGCUGGGUCCUUUUACACAUGGAAGUGAUUCAGAAAAUGGGGUCUUUAUGAAGUUCUGUAUACUUUAUAAAUGUUAGAAUUUUAAAAAAAUGUAGCUUGUAGUGAUGAUGGAAACAAUCUGUAAAAUAGCAUUUAAAAGUAAAUGAAGUUUUUUUUUUUUUCAAAUGCUGUGAAGUUAAUUGUAUUAGCUAUAAGAAACCAUUCACCUUCUUGUUUAUGGUUAUUUCCAGUUUGCCACAGGAUCUGAAAUAAAAGAGCACUGUUUAAAAUGUGGAGGGCUGGAUUUUGCCUAUGGGCUGUGAUUUGUCGAUCCUUGAUGUGGACCUUAAAGGGAGACUAGACAGUGGACAGGCUGAAUGUUGGAGUGGAGCUGUGUGUGUGCACAUGGAGGGUGGAGUCAGGUCACCACAGCAGGGAAAAGAGAGCCUGGAGAAUGCAUGCUUACUUCUAAAUGCCUUGGUCUAGAAGUGAUAUUGUUCCUUUCACUCACAGCCCAAUCCGAAACUCAUUGCAUGGUUCUAUGCAACUACAAGAGGGCUGGAGAAUGAAGUCAGAAUAUAUUUCUGGCUGUCCCUCGCCCAGCCUUGUUGUGUUUUUGGCUCCAAUUGACUACACCUGCGACUCUUCUUGUGAAGACUGCCUGCCUCCAGGCUACUGGAGUGAUUUGGAUGCUCUGCUUCUGGAGAAUUGGAUCUACGAUAGUGUGGUAUUCGAAGAACAGUCCUGAUGAUGAAGCAACCACUGGUAAAUCUUGAGAGGGUGGAGUAGUGAGAAGCAGAUGUCAGCUUGCAAAGCGCUGAGGAGUGAGUGGAUGAUAAGGAACUGGCUGGAGAUGUCAGCAGAGGAUAUUCAAUCAAGAAGUUUGAUAAUAUCCCAAUUUGGACUAGCCACAUUUUAAGUGGCCAAUAGCCACUCCUGGCUGGUGACUCCUGUAUUGGACAGAGUAAGGAUGAGACAUUGGUUUUGGACAGAGAUUGAAGAGCCUUGGAUACUGACGGGAGCCCUCCCUUGAUCUGCAACUCUGGAAUAUUUCCCACCCUUUCAUAGGCCCCUUUUGACCCCAUCCCUGAAGGUUGCAAACUUGGAAAUCUGAAGACCCAACCUUACUAUUGGCAAAGACAGACAAACACUCUACAAAUAGUGCUUGAAAAAUGCCACCGUUUGGUUCAGAUGGUGAAGAGGAACUCAGGAAGUCCUGGCAGUCUCUAGGAGGCUAGGGCAGUGGUUCUCAAAUGAUAGGGUGUACAGAAAUUCCCUGGAGGACUUGUGACAACAAAGAUUGCUAGGCCUACUCCCAGCGUUUCUAAUUCAGCAGGUCUGGGGAUGGAGCUCAAGUAUCUGCAUUUCUAACAAGUCCCCGGUGGUGCUGAUGCUGCUUGCAUGGACCAGUUUAGAGAACCAUACUUGGAGAAACACUUGGUUAGGAAAACUAUGUCUGUUACAGCUUGAUCAAAGGGCUCUUAAGUUCCUUUUGUACAAUAAAUCACUGCGAUAUCAAAUGAGGUAAAUGAACAUGCUCUUUGAACUCUAAA
rnacentral:lncRNA from 1 species